GACGAACGCUGGCGGCGUGCUUAACACAUGCAAGUCGAACGGAAAGGCCUGCUUUCCCUUGUGGUUUUCGGGUACUCGAGUGGCGAACGGGUGCGUAACACGUGAGUGAUCUGCCCCCAACUUGGGUAUAAGCCUGGGAAACUGGGUCUAAUUACCGAUAGGACUGCAGGGUGGUGCCUGUGGUGGCAGACGUUCUUCUAGUGGUUGGGGAUGAGCCCGCGGCCUAUCAGCUUGUUGGUGGGGUAAAGGCCGACCAAGGCGGCGACGGGUAGCCGGCCUGAGAGGGUGGACGGUCACAUUGGGACUGGGAUACGACCCAGACGCCUACGGGAGGCAGCAGUGGGGAAGAUUGGACAAUGGGCGGAAGCCUGAUGCAGCGACGCCGCGUGGGGGAUGACGGCCUUCGGGUUGUAAGCUCCUUGCGACCGCGAGGAAGCCACCUGGUUGGAAGGGUGGUGACGGUAGUGGUAGAAGAAGCACCGGCUAACUACGUG
rnacentral:rRNA from 1 species